rnacentral:rRNA from 1 species
GGGUCAGUAGGUUGGUCGUGCCACCGGUACGUACUGGUCUCACUGAUUCCUCCUUCCUGAAGAACCGUAAUGCCAUUAAUUUGGUGUUGCGGGGAAACAGGACUGUUACUUCGAAAAAUUUAGAGUGUUUAAAGCAAGCUAACGCUUGAAUACAUUAGCAUGGAAUAAUGAAAUAGGACGAUCGAUCCUAUUUUGUUGGUUUCUAGGAUUGACGUA